CAGUUGCCAUCGGUAAGGCCGGGCACUCUGGAUGGACGUGCCGGCGACAAGCCGGAGGAAGGUGGGGACGACGUCAAGUCAUCAUGGCCCUUAUGUCCAGGGCGACACACGUGCUACAAUGGCCGGCACAACGGGAAGCGAAGGGGCGACCCUGAGCGGAUCCCACAAAAGCCGGUCUCAGUUCGGAUUGCAGUCUGCAACUCGACUGCAUGAAGUUGGAAUCGCUAGUAAUCGUGGAUCAGCCAAGCCGCGGUGAAUACGUUCCCGGGCCUU
rnacentral:rRNA from 1 species